rnacentral:tRNA from 1 species
CAGGGAGACAACAAAAUGUUUAAUAUUAUUUUGUCACCUUAGGUCGAUCGGUAUCUCACAUUCUUAAUUCAUUAAGAAUUUCAUUUCCUAAGUUUUUCUAGGUCACACCCAUUAUUUUUCCUGGGCCAUUAGCUCAGGUGGUUAGAGCGCACCCCUGAUAAGGGUGAGGUCCCUGGUUCAAGUCCAGGAUGGCCCAUAUCUCUAUGUUGGGGGUAUAGCUCAGUUGGUAGAGCGCCUGCUUUGCAAGCAGGAUGUCAGCGGUUCGAGUCCGCUUACCUCCACUGAUUACCACCUCUUCCAUAAUUUAUAGAAAGGAAAUGUUUUGAGUUGUGAUCAAAUUCUGAACGAAUCUAGCUUCCUAAUGAAAUCAUUAAGAUGCUGGACUCAUUGAAUUAUUUUCAUUGUUUUCAGAGAACCUUGACAACUGCAUAGAUUAUUUUUAAAGACAAUAAGCAUCUUUAAUGAUGCAGAUUUAUUAUUUGUGCGAAUGCAUUAAUAACAAUUCUAUUAAGCUGAUGCUUCAAUUUUGAAGUUAUU